CGUCAAGGGAGUGAGCAGUGGCAGUUCCUCCAUCGCAACUCCUUUAAGGCAGAGGGAUCCGAUGGAGGGGUUGGUCUGUGCUUUGCCUUAUAAAGGUAGGGCCAGCUACACGAAGGAGGGCUCUCUGCAGUCACCAUGGUGCACCUCCUGCUUGUGCGGAUCUGUCCGGAAGCGCCCCGCUCUCUCCUGCUACCCCGCUUUCCUGCAAAGACAUUGAACAAUUCCAUAGGAGGGCCAGAGAGACCCUUCCAAGUAGGACAGGAACCCAACCCUAAUGAGCAUGUGCUGAUUUUGCUGAACACAGGCAUGGGAUUGACCAAGGCUGACCUCAUCAAUACUUCCUAAGUCUACACAAAGUAUUCAUCAAGGCUGUCCAGGCUGUUACAGGCAUCUUCACGAUUGGUGUUGGAUUCUAUUCUGUCUGUCUGGUGGCAGAGAAAGUGGUUGUGAUUCCAAGUCACAGUGGAUGAGCAGUACACUUCGGAGACUGUUGCUGUGGAUCCUUAGAGUUAGUACAGAUCACACUGAAUUGACUUAUCUACAUUGUGGUGAUCGAUAGAAUUCUCCAAGUGGAGUGAGCCCAUUGGCCAGGAUACCAACGUGAUCCUUCUCCUCAAAGGCCUGACAGUGCAGAGAGAGGAGGGUCAAGGAAGCUGUGAAGAAACACUCACCGUUCAUGGGCUGUCCCGUCACCCUGUGUGAGUGUGAGCUUGGCAGCCUUUGAGCAGACUGUUGUGUUGGCUCAUGGCCUUCAGCUUCCUGGUGUUGAGUUCUCCCCACCUUUUAUUAAAUUUAAUGAUUUAGUUGGAAGGAGAGAAGAUCCGUGAAGAUGAGGCAGAGGAAGAGAAAGGGGAGAAAGAGGAGGAAGAUAAGGAUGACGAGGAGAAGCAUAAGACUGAAGAUGUGGGAAUAGAUAAGGAGGAUGAUGGUGGCAAAGAUAAAAAGAAAACCAAAACCAAGAAGAUCAGGGAGAAAUACAUUGAUUGGGAAGAGUUGAAUAAGACUAAGACUGCUUGGACCGGAAACCCUGCUGGCAUCACUCAGGAGAAACAUGGUGAAUCCUAUAAUGGCCUCACCAGUGAUUGCCCACACCACUUAGAAGUCAAGAUGCAUGUUGUGUAAAUUGCAGAGAAUUGCAGGGGAGUAUAGAAUGUGCUGCAGGUGGUAGGAAACAACUCUCCCACUGACUGACAGCUGAGAAUGGAAAGCCAUGGGACCGCAUGGCAUGAUCCACUGGGGACCGCUGAGACUGGCCUGUGCUUGGCAGUGGUUUGACUUUCCCUUCUGGUGGGAACCUUGGGUGGUGGCCAUCACAGCCAGGCUUCUAAUGGAGGGACACUUGGCUACUCGCUCUCUAGGUUGGUAUUAGGGCUGUUUUCUCUAUAGUUGCCUAUAGUUUCUGUUCUGUUCCUAGGUCUUCAGGAGUGUGGCAUCGUUCCAGUGUCAGAUGUUUGACAUUGCAACAUGAAGCAAUCUGAAAUGUACACCUGGGUUUUCUUUCAGCUGUUCUCUGUAGUCAUUUGGAAUUCGGAGCAUUGCUCUUCAUUCCUUGGCAAGCUCCCCUUGACUUUGUUAAUAACAAGAAGAAGAACAGCAUCAAACUAUUUAUCUGUAAUGUGUCCAUCAUGGACAGCUUUGAUGAGCUGAUACCUGAGCACCUCAGUAAAUAUCUGGAGGACCUAUUGUGUGUGGUACAGGCAAACUCUUACCUAAGAGAUCUUCAGCAUACAGCUGAGUCUGUCUUUAAACCAGAUAAUAAUAGCCCUUGUCUCCUCAAACCUUCACUUGGCUGUGUUGUUUAAAUCUGGGAACCAGAGUAGGUCUGAUCAACUGUGUCUGUACUUUCUGCUCUGAUUGAUUGUAGACUUCAUCUGUGGCCUGGUUGACUUCUAGGACAUGUCAGUGAACUUUUCCCAGGAAACACUCCAGCAGAACAAUCCCGAACGUCAUCAACGAUAGUGUUGUGAAUGAGGGACUUCCAAGUGUUGUCAGUUGGCAGAAGACAAAGAAAAGUAGAAGAAUUCUCUGAGGCGUUCUGAAUGUCGAGCUUGGAAUCCAUGAACAUUCCACUCUGGCAGUGCCUGUCUGAGCUCCUCUGCUCACCCACCUCUCAUUCUGGAGAUGAGAUGACUUCCUGUCAGAGUAUGUGUCUCACAUGAAGGAGACACAGAUGUCCAUCAUGUUUCACUGGUGUGCUCCAACGUGGGUCUGGUCAAAGCUUCCUCGGAAUGUAGGAAAAUGGAGAUGGGUCGGACACAUCAAGGCCACCUGAAAGUGGUGGUGUGAAGGCCUAUUUUCCAUCAUUGAGUCAUAUUUUACAAUGAAUCCUAUAGUUGAGAGCAAAGAGCAGGUGGCCAAGUACUGCCUAUGUGGAGCAUGUGCAGAAGCUGGGCCCUGCGGUGGUGUGUGUGACUGAGUCUAUUGACGAGUACUGAAUGCAACAGCUCAAGGAGUUUGGUGGAAAGAGCCUGGUCUCAGUAACUAAGGAAGGCCUGGACCUACCAGAAGAUGAGGAAGAGAAGAAGAAAGUGGAGGACAGCAAGGCAAAGUCUGAGGCUCUCUGCGAUCUUAGGAAGGAGAUCUUGGAUAAGGAGGUUAAAGAAGUGAGUUUGUGUUAGUUUCCCUCCUGGAUCUGCACGUCGCUGUAGAGCUAGUGGCAUCAGACAGCACAGAGCCCCCUCCCCUCCCCCAGCAGCAUCAGACUGUCCUUCUGUAGAUCGUAACUGAAGAUGCUCACUUCAGUAUCUGAUGAAGUAGCAUGUUCUUGGGUGGUUUUGCUCUUUUGGGGGGGAGGGGCCCUGCCACCCAGCUCCCAAAUAAAUCAUACA